CAGGGGAUCUUUCCCACCCAGGGAUCGAACCUGCGUCUCCUGCACUGCAGGCCACAGUUUCUGCAUUUUUGUGGGUAAUUUUGCUGUUUAAAAAGGCCCUAAACAUGGUGCUGAGUGAGGGCUGCCGUGUUCCUAACAGCAAGAAGGGAUGUACCUUACAGAGAAAACACAUGUGUUAGGGCAGGGAUUCCCAACCUCCCAGAUCUAAUGCCUGAUGAUAUCUGAGGUGGAGCUGAUAAUAGAAAUAAAGGGCACAAUAAAUGUAAUGUGCUUGAAUCAUCCUGAAACCAUCCCCCCACCUCUCUGGGUCCAUGGAAAAGUCGUCUUCCCAGAAAUCAGUGCCUGGUGCCAAAAAGGCUGGGGACAGCUGCUCCAGGGGCAGUGGUUUGGGAUUCAUUAAUUCUGUGUCCACAGUAACUUUA